CAUACACACACUUAAUCAGUAUGUCUACGUGUAAUUUGAGAGAAAUAUAUAAAUAUAUAUAUAUAUAUAUAUAUAUAUAUAUAUCUCAAAUUACACGUAGACUGAUACUGAUUAAGUGUGUGUAUA